CUUAGCUCAGAAUGGGUCCCACACAGACAUAAGACUUGGUCUGUGUUUUUCCAGGCGUUCUUGCAGUCUCUAGCCAUCCCCCAUCCUGUGCUUGGGGCCCACCAGAUGUCCCAAGGAACUCCAGGACUCUAACCUAUGGGAUCAUCUAUGGUACUUGUGGUUGAGACCCAGUUCCAGGAGAGCAGCAUGGUACAACAAGAAGACAGCAAUCUGCAAACCAGAAAGUGGACCCUCACCAAGAACUAGAUGAUGAUGGUGCCCUGGCCUCAAACUUUCAGCUUCCCAGAACUGUGAGAAAUAAAUUUCUGUUGUUUAUAAGUUA